rnacentral:lncRNA from 1 species
AUUGAAUCAUGGGGACAGGCCUUUCCUGUGCCAUUCUCGUGAUAGUGAAUAAGUCUCACAAGAUCCGAUGGCUUUAUAAAGGGGAGUUUCCCUGCGCAAGUUUUCUUCUCUUGUCUGCCGCCAUGUGAGAUGUGUCUUUCACCUUCUGCCAUGAUUGUGAGGCCUCCCCAGCCAUGUGGAACUAAUGUCUUUCUUACAGACCACUGACUUCAAAACGGCCAUUGGGAGGAAAUGACCUGACCCACUGUCACCACACAAGGAAUCACUGUAACUGGAUCAAAAGCCACAAGUGUGACAUAUGUCUGUGCACACAGGAGGCUCCAGGAUGAUAUGCAGACCCACUAGAUCAGAACAGCCUGAAUCCCUGAGUGACUGCAUGGAAGACAGCUGCCCUGGAGGAUUGCCCAACCUAUAGCCAACUUUACAUGAGUGAGAAAUAAACGUUCUGAGUAGCGAGAAAUAAAUGUUCACAGAGAUUUUAGGGUUGUUUGUCAUUGCAGCACAAGCCUAU